AUUGAACGCUGGCGGCAGGCCUAACACAUGCAAGUCGAGCGGCAGCACGGAGCUUGCUCCCGGAUUCAGCGGCCGACGGGCGGGUAAUGCCUAGGUACAUCCCAGGCUGUGGUGGAUAACGUCCGGACACGGGCGCUCAUACCCUAUUAGCCCUGAGGGAGUACGUGGGGGAUCUUCGGACCUUCCGACCUUAGAUGAGCCUAGGUCGGAUUAGCUAGUUGGUGGGGUAAAGGCCUACCAAGGCGACGAUCCGUAACUGGUCUGAGAGGAUGAUCAGUCACACUGGAACUGAGACACGGUCCAGACUCCUACGGGAGGCAGCAGUGGGGAAUAUUGGACAAUGGGCGAAAGCCUGAUCCAGCCAUGCCGCGUGUGUGAAGAAGGUCUUCGGAUUGUAAAGCACUUUUAUUUGGGAAGAAAAGCAGUAGGUUAAUACCUUGCUGUUUUGACGUUACCAACAGAAUAAGCACCGGCUAACUUCGUG
rnacentral:rRNA from 1 species